rnacentral:rRNA from 1 species
GAGGGGGUGCAAACGUUAUUCGGAUUUACUGGGUGUAAAGGGUGUGUAGACGGGUUGUUAAGUUCGUUGUUAAAUCUUCCGGGCCUAACCGGAAGCUCGCGAUGGAAACUGGCAAUCUUGAGGAUGGAAGAGAGAAGUGGAAUUCUCGGAGUAGCGGUAAAAUGCGUAGAUCUCGAGAGGAACACCGAUGGCGAAGGCAGCUUCUUGGUCCAUUCCUGACGUUGAGACACGAAAGCGUGGGGAGCAAACAGGAUUAGAUACCCUGGUAGUCCACGCUGUAAACGAUGAUCACUAGAUGUUGGCCCUGGUUUGCAGGGUUAGUAUCGAAGCUAACGCGUUAAGUGAUCCACCUGGGAACUACGAUCGCAAGAUUA